rnacentral:rRNA from 1 species
AGAUUAAGUUAUUAAGGGCGCACGGUGGAUGCCUUGGCACUAGAAGCCGAUGAAGGACGUUACUAACGACGAUAUGCUUUGGGGAGCUAAGUAAGCUUUGAUCCAGAGAUUUCCGAAUGGGGAAACCCAGCACGAGUUAUGUCGUGUUAUCUGCAUGUGAAUACAUAGCAUGCAAGAAGGCAGACCCGGAGAACUGAAACGUGCUCUUCCUUUCCGGAAAGAAAAAUCGAUUCCCUGAGUAGCGGCGAGCGAAACGGGAAGAGCCCAAACCAAUAAGCUUGCUUAUUGGGGUUGUAGGACACUCUGUACGGAGUUACAAAAGAAUUUGUUAGACGAAUAACCUGGAAAGGUUAAUCAGAGAAGGUAAUAAUCCUGUAGUCGAAAACGAAUUCUCUCUUGAGUGGAUCCUGAGUACGACGGAGCACGUGAAAUUCCGUCGGAAUCUGGGAGGACCAUCUCCUAAGGCUAAAUACUCUAGUGACCGAUAGUGAACCAGUACCGUGAGGGAAAGGUGAAAAGUACCCCGGAAGGGGAGUGAAAGAACUUGAAACCGUGUGCUUACAAGUAGUCAGAGCCCGUUAAUGGGUGAUGGCGUGCCUUUUGUAGAAUGAACCGGCGAGUUACGAUCUGAUGCAAGGUUAAGCAGAAAAUGUGGAGCCGUAGCGAAAGCGAGUCUGAAUAGGGCGAAUGAGUAUUUGGUCGUAGACCCGAAACCAGGUGAUCUACCCUUGGUCAGGUUGAAGUUCAGGUAACACUGAAUGGAGGACCGAACCGACUUACGUUGAAAAGUGAGCGGAUGAACUGAGGGUAGCGGAGAAAUUCAAUCGAACUUGGAGAUAGCGGGUUCUCUCGAAAUAGCUUUAGGGCUAGCCUCAAGUGAUGAUUAUUGGAGGUAGAGCACUGUUUGGACGAGGGGCCCCUCUCGGGUUACCGAAUUCAGACAAACUCCGAAUGCCAAAUAAUUUAACUUGGGAGUCAGAAUGUGGGUGAUAAGGUCCAUAUUCGAAAGGAAACAGCCCAGACCACCAGCUAAGGUCCCAAAAUAUAUGUUAAGUGGAAAAGGAUGUGGCGUUGCCCAGACAACUAGGAUGUUGGCUUAGAAGCAGCCAUCAUUUAAAGAGUGCGUAAUAGCUCACUAGUCGAGUGACACUGCGCCGAAAAUGUACCGGGGCUAAACAUAUUACCGAAGCUGUGGAUUGUCCUUGGACAAUGGUAGGAGCGUUCUAAGGGCGUUGAAGCAUGAUCGCAAGGACAUGUGGAGCGCUUAGAAGUGAGGAUGUCGGGGUGAGGGAGGCAAGGAGGGGGGGGAAGCCGUCCACCGAUUUACUAAGGUUUCCAGAGGAAGGCUCGUCCGCUCUGGGGUAGUCGGGUCCUAAGCUGAGGCCGACAGGCGUAGGCGAUGGAUAACAGGUUGAUAUUCCUGUACCACCAUUAUUCGUUUUAAGCGAUGGGGACGCAGUAGGAUAGGCGAAGCGUGCUGUUGGAGUGCACGUCCAAGCAGUGAGAUUGAGUGUUAGGCAAAUCCGGCACUCUUAAGAUUGAGCUGUGAUGGGGAGAGGAACUUGUUCCUCGAGUCGUUGAUUUCACACUGCCGAGAAAAGCCUCUAGCUAGAAUAACGGUGCCCGUACCGCAAACCGACACAGGUAGUCAAGAUGAGAAUUCUAAGGUGAGCGAGCGAACUCUCGUUAAGGAACUCGGCAAAAUGACCCCGUAACUUCGGGAGAAGGGGUGCUCUUUGAGGUUCACGCUUCGAAGAGCCGCAGUGAAUAGGCCCAAGCGACUGUUUAUCAAAAACACAGGUCUCUGCUAAACCGUAAGGUGACGUAUAGGGGCUGACGCCUGCCCGGUGCUGGAAGGUUAAGAGGGUGGGUAGCGCACGCAAGUCCGAAGUUCAGUCGUGUGCUCUUCCGAUCUGGUCCUAAGGUAGCGAAAUUCCUUGUCGGGUAAGUUCCGACCCGCACGAAAGGCGUAACGAUUUGGGCACUGUCUCAACGAGAGACUCGGUGAAAUCAUAGUACCGGUGAAGAUGCCGGUUACCCGCGACAGGACGGAAAGACCCCGUGGAGCUUUACUGUAGCCUGAUAUUGAAAUUCGGUACAGUUUGUACAGGAUAGGUAGGAGCCUUAGAAGCGUGAGCGCUAGCUUACGUGGAGGCAUUGGUGGGAUACUACCCUAAUUGUAUUGGAUUUCUAACCCGCAGCACUUAUCGUGCUGGGAGACAGUGUCAGGCGGGCAGUUUGACUGGGGCGGUCGCCUCCUAAAGAGUAACGGAGGCGCUCAAAGGUUCCCUCAGAAUGGUUGGAAAUCAUUCAUAGGGUGUAAAGGCAUAAGGGAGCUUGACUGCGAGACCUACAAGUCGAGCAGGGCGAGACGGACUUAGUGAUCCGGUGGUUCCGCAUGGAAGGGCCAUCGCUCAACGGAUAAAAGCUACCCCGGGGAUAACAGGCUUAUCUCCCCCAAGAGUUCACAUCGACGGGGAGGUUUGGCACCUCGAUGUCGGCUCAUCGCAUCCUGGGGCUGUAGUCGGUCCCAAGGGUUGGGCUGUUCGCCCAUUAAAGCGGUACGCGAGCUGGGUUCAGAACGUCGUGAGACAGUUCGGUCCCUAUCCGUCGUGGGCGUAGGAAAUUUGAGAGGAGCUGUCCUUAGUACGAGAGGACCGGGAUGGACAUACCUCUGGUGUACCAGUUGUCGUGCCAACGGCAUAGCUGGGUAGCUAUGUAUGGACGGGAUAAGUGCUGAAAGCAUCUAAGCAUGAAGCCCCCCUCGAGAUGAGAUUUCCCAACUUCGGUUAUAAGAUCCCUCAAAGAUGAUGAGGUGAAUAGGUUCGAGGUGGAAGCGUAGUGAUACGUGGAGCUGACGAAUACUAAUCGAUCGAAGACUUAAUCAAU